UACGUAGGAGACGAGCGUUGUCCGGAGUUACUGGGCGUAAAGGGUGCGCAGGUGGCGGCGCGCGUGGGGGGGUGAAAUCGCCCGGCUUAACUGGGCGGGGGCCUUCCAGACGGCGUGGCUUGAGCAGCGGAGGGGGACGUGGAAUUCCGGGUGGAGCGGUGAAAUGCGUAGAGAUCAGGAAGAACACCCGUGGCGAAGGCGGCCCACUGGGCCGGUACUGACGCUGAGGCGCGAAGGCGUGGGGAGCGAACGGG
rnacentral:rRNA from 1 species